rnacentral:rRNA from 1 species
AUUGAACGCUGGCGGCAGGCCUAACACAUGCAAGUCGAGCGGAUGAAGGGAGCUUGCUCCUGGAUUCAGCGGCGGACGGGUGAGUAAUGCCUAGGAAUCUGCCUGGCAGUGGGGGAGAACGUCCGGAAACGGGCGCUAAUACGGCAUACGUCCUGAGGGAGAAAGUGGGGGAUCUUCGGACCUUACGCUAUCAGAUGAGCCUAGGUCGGAUUAGCUAGUUGGUGGGGUAAAGGCCUACCAAGGCGACGAUCCGUAACUGGUCUGAGAGGAUGAUCAGUCACACUGGAACUGAGACACGGUCCAGACUCCUACGGGAGGCAGCAGUGGGGAAUAUUGGACAAAGGGCGAAAGCCUGAUCCAGCCAUGCCGCGUGUGUGAAGAAGGUCUUCGGAUUGUAAAGCACUUUAAGUUGGGAGGAAGGGCAGUAAGUUAAUACCUUGCUGUUUUGACGUUACCAACAGAAUAAGCACCGGCUAACUUCGUG